GAACGGCAGCACGGGGGCAACCCUGGUGGCGAGUGGCGAACGGGUGAGUAAUACAUCGGAACGUGUCCUGUAGUGGGGGAUAGCCCGGCGAAAGCCGGAUUAAUACCGCAUACGACCUAAGGGAGAAAGCGGGGGAUCUUCGGACCUCGCGCUAUAGGGGCGGCCGAUGGCAGAUUAGCUAGUUGGUGGGGUAAAGGCCUACCAAGGCGACGAUCUGUAGCUGGUCUGAGAGGACGACCAGCCACACUGGGACUGAGACACGGCCCAGACUCCUACGGGAGGCAGCAGUGGGGAAUUUUGGACAAUGGGGGCAACCCUGAUCCAGCAAUGCCGCGUGUGUGAAGAAGGCCUUCGGGUUGUAAAGCACUUUUGUUCGGGAAGAAAACCAUCUGGCUAAUAUCCGGGUGGGAUGACGGUACCGGAAGAAUAAGCACCGGCUAACUACGUG
rnacentral:rRNA from 1 species